UGAUUGGAGGAAGCUAAAUCUCCUGACUACAGGAAACUAAGCCUUGUGGCUGAAGCAAGACUGUUUAGAGAAGCAAGCUUUUCACAGAAGAACACAACAAAGCGGUCACAUUCUUGAUCCAUGAAGCCUACUGCCUUCAUUUUGACAAAAGGCAAAAGAAAAAAGGCAAAGAAGAGAGGAGGAAGCCACUUUUAGAGAUGACUGCUAGAAGCAUACAGAAAUUACAUCAGCUUAGCAUACCUUAAAUCUGCAUGAUCCCAGUGAAUGGUCUUCUCUUUCAGCAGAAUGCAAAGUAUUAUACGACGAAUGUACAUCAGAAUUUUAUUGGGUGCUUAUUGCUGUUGAUCAAGGCAAUUUUAGAAUACAGGAUUUACAAGAAAGCCAUGAUAUGCAAUCCUAUAUAUGUCAACUCAGCCUCACUCAGC